GCUUAAUCAACCAGGGCAGGGAAACGUCAGGCUGAGGACUGAGAGGGGUGAGGAACAGUCAGCAGGUUGUAGAAACAUGAGACUUUGGCUUCUGGAAACUUCUCCAGUUUGAAACCAGAAAGACUAGCUUUGUGUUCAAAGAAGUCUUGAGUGACUUAAGACUCAAGCUCUGCCAGCUGCUUCUUACCAUUUACGGUGCAUCAGUAACUGCAAGAAGAAAACAGUAACUGCAAGAAGAAAGCACACACGAAAGAGUCCAUCCACCCUUGGAGCGAGG